rnacentral:rRNA from 1 species
GACAGAGGGUGCAAACGUUGUUCGGAAUUACUGGGCGUAAAGCGUGUGUAGGCGGUCUCGUAAGUCGGGUGUGAAAGCCCUGGGCUCAACCCAGGAAGUGCACUCGAAACUGCGAGGCUAGAGUAUCGGAGAGGUUGGUGGAAUUCUCGGUGUAGAGGUGAAAUUCGUAGAUAUCGAGAGGAACACCGGUGGCGAAGGCGGCCAACUGGACGAAUACUGACGCUGAGACACGAAAGCGUGGGGAGCAAACAGG